UACGUAGGCAGCAAGCGUUGUUCGGAGUUACUGGGCGUAAAGGGUGCGUAGGCGGUCCUAUAAGUAUGGUGUGAAAUCUCCCGGCUUAACUGGGAGGGUGCGCUAUAGACUGUGGGACUAGAGUGUGGGAGAGGAAAGUGGAAUUCCUGGUGUAGCGGUGAAAUGCGUAGAUAUCAGGAGGAACACCGGUGGUGUAAACGGCUUUCUGGACCAUUACUGACGCUGAGACACGAAAGCGUGGGUAGCAAACAGG
rnacentral:rRNA from 1 species